AAGAGUUAAUUGUUGUCAUCACUGU
rnacentral:piRNA from 1 species